rnacentral:tRNA from 1 species
GGGCGAUUAGCUCAGUGGUCAGAGCGCGUCACUGAUAAUGACGAGGUCCGUGGUUCGAAUCCACGAUCGCCCACCA